AUUGAACGCUGGCGGCAGGCCUAACACAUGCAAGUCGAGCGAGCGGCGGACGGGUGAGUAAUGUCUGGGAAACUGCCUGAUGGAGGGGGAUAACUAGUGGAAAAGGUAGCUAAUACCGCAUACCAUCAGAUGUGCCCAGAUGGGAUUAGCUAGUAGGUGGGGUAACGGCUCACCAAGGCAACGAUCCCUAGCCGGUCUGAGAGGAUGACCAGCCACACUGGAACUGAGACACGGUCCAGACUCCUACGGGAGGCAGCAGUGGGGAAUAUUGCACAAUGGGCGCAAGCCUGAUGCAGCAAUGCCGCGUGAGUGAAGAAGGCCUUCGGGUUGUAAAGCACUGUCAGCAGGGAGGCGUUACCCACAGAAGAAGCACCGGCUAACUCCGUGCCAGCAGCCGCGGUAAUUC
rnacentral:rRNA from 1 species